AGCUUGUUGGCGGGUAACGGCCCACCAAGGCGACGAUCAGUAGGGGUUCUGAGAGGAAGGUCCCCCACAUUGGAACUGAGACACGGUCCAAACUCCUACGGGAGGCAGCAGUGAGGAAUAUUGGUCAAUGGGCGAGAGCCUGAACCAGCCAAGUAGCGUGCAGGAUGACGGCCCUAUGGGUUGUAAACUGCUUUUACGCGGGGAUAAAGUGCGUGACGUGUCUCGCAUUGCAGGUACCGCGUGAAUAAGGACCGGCUAAUUCCCGUGCCAGCAGCCGCGGUAAAU
rnacentral:rRNA from 1 species